AGCGAACGCUGGCGGCAGGCCUAACACAUGCAAGUCGAACGAACUCUUCGGAGUUAGUGGCGGACGGGUGAGUAACACGUGGGAACGUGCCUUUAGGUUCGGAAUAACUCAGGGCAACUUGUGCUAAUACCGAAUGUGCCCUUCGGGGGAAAGUUUUAUCGCCUUUAGAGCGGCCCGCGUCUGAUUAGCUAGUUGGUGAGGUAAAGGCUCACCAAGGCGACGAUCAGUAGCUGGUCUGAGAGGAUGACCAGCCACAUUGAGACUGAGACACGGCCCAAACUCCUACGGGAGGCAGCAGUGGGGAAUCUUGCGCAAUGGGCGAAAGCCUGACGCAGCCAUGCCGCGUGUAUGAUGAAGGUCUUAGGAUUGUAAAAUACUUUCACCGGUGAAGAUAAUGACUGUAGCCGGAGAAGAAGCCCCGGCUAACUUCGUGCCAGCCGCCGCCGUAAUAC
rnacentral:rRNA from 1 species